rnacentral:ncRNA from 1 species
AAACUCAAAGGAAUUGACGGGGGGCCCGCACAAGCGGCGGAGCAUGCGGAUUAAUUCGAUGCAACGCGAAGAACCUUACCAAGGCUUGACAUACACCGGAAACGUCCAGAGAUGGGGCGCCCCCGCAAGGUCGGUGUACAGGUGGUGCAUGGUUGUCGUCAGCUCGUGUCGUGAGAUGUUUGGGGUUAAGUCCCCGCAACGAGCGCAACCCCUUUGUCCUGUGUUUGCCAGCGGGGUUUAUGCCCGGGGGGACUCAUGGGGAGACUGCCCGGGGGGUCAACUCGGAGGAAGGGUGGGGGGAUGACGUCAAAAUCAUCAUGCCCCCCUUUAUGUCUUUGGGGCUUCACGCAUGCUACAAUGGGCCCGGUACAAAAGGGGCGGCGAUGCCCGUAAGGGUGGAGCGAAUCCCCAAAAAAAGCCCGGGUCUCAGUUUCGGAUUGGGGGUCUGCAACUCGACCCCCAUGAAGUCGGGAGUCGCUAGUAAUCGCAGAUCAGCAACGCUGCGGUGAAUA